GUGCCUGCUGCUAAUGGAAAACUUCGAUCUCCGAAGUUAUGGGAAGGUAUUUGCACACUGGACAAAGGAAUCAGAGGCUGUGCUGAGAGGUGAACAUGCACCUGUAUUCAGACUAAGAAAGCGCAAAUCUGUGGAACUUAGCCUGAAACCAGCAGAAGGGAUGUGCUGGAUGGAGACAACAUAGAAUCCAAGGAGCCAUUCCUCUUUGGUUUUCAGGUCCAAGAGGACAUGGAAUUAUUUUUACAGGCCUGUGUUGACCAGCGGGGCCUUCGGGUUAAUGCUGUCUGUUAUAAGAAUGAUUAAAUUACUGGCACAUGA